rnacentral:rRNA from 1 species
AGUGAACGCUGGCGGUAGGCCUAACACAUGCAAGUCGAACGGCAGCACAGUAAGAGCUUGCUCUUACGGGUGGCGAGUGGCGGACGGGUGAGGAAUACAUCGGAAUCUACUUUUUCGUGGGGGAUAACGUAGGGAAACUUACGCUAAUACCGCAUACGACCUACGGGUGAAAGCAGUGGAUCUUCGGACCUUGCGCGAUUGAAUGAGCCGAUGUCGGAUUAGCUAGUUGGCGGGGUAAAGGCCCACCAAGGCGACGAUCCGUAGCUGGUCUGAGAGGAUGAUCAGCCACACUGGAACUGAGACACGGUCCAGACUCCUACGGGAGGCAGCAGUGGGGAAUAUUGGACAAUGGGCGCAAGCCUGAUCCAGCCGUACCGCGUGGGUGAAGAAGGCCUUCGGGUUGUAAAGCCCUUUUGUUGGGAAAGAAAAGCAGCAGGUUAAGACCCCGCUGUUCUGACGGUACCCAAAGAAUAAGCACCGGCUAACUUCGUG